CAAUAAUAUGGCCCACCAACUUAAAUCGACCAUCUAGUAGUAGAUGCGCUUAGGCAACAUGUACAUUUUUUUAAUUAGUAUACAAAAAAGACAUGUCAUCUUUUGGUAACUGGAUGAUCAUUUUUUAUGCUUACCCUUUUCUUUAAUACUAGUAUCUCUUCCACUGGGGUUUUCUAGCACACAGAAUUGAAGCGAAGAAUAACAAGAAAAUCAAUUAGAAAUUUGGGUGGGCCUUUUAAAUUUUAUAUAAAACCAAACAAUCAAAUGACCCAUCUCUGCUCUACAAGGACGCCAGUG
rnacentral:lncRNA from 1 species